rnacentral:tRNA from 1 species
GGACCCGUAGCUCAGCUAGGAUAGAGCGACAGAUUCCUAAUCUGUAGGUCGUGAGUUCAAAGAAUCUUUUUAGGAAAA